UAGAGGUUAACCGUGAUCACGAAGGCGGUUCCUCCGGAGUGAGGCUUGGCCAUUGCACCUCGGCUGAGUUGACCUCUGCGAUUAUUCCUAAUGUGAAUAACUCGUGCGUGUAAUUUUUGGUAGCCGGGAAUGGCGUUCGCGCCGUCCCGACAUUGAUAAUACAUACGAAUUCCAAUUUAAUAAUAUCUUCUAUUGCAUGUAAGCUGGCAGAUACGAUUAUGCUCUCUUAUUUCCCUUAUGAAUUCGUGUAAAUAUUUACCACAACCUGAAAGUCAGUCAAUCAUUUGUCCAUCCAUCUCAGUUAUUCGCUAGCGAGAUUACUACCUCGCAAAUCAGAUACAGAAUGCAAUGCACUGGUUGCCUGUGGUUACACGGACUGGAAACCCACCCCCAAGGGCACUUGUCAAGCGGAUUGGAGAUGGGAUAUAACCAGGGGGCGAGACGGCCGGGCGCAACCCUUUCUGAUUUGAUGGUUAUAUGCAGAUUCGGAUUUUGGGCAGGAGCCCGAGGCAAAGGGGAUGUCCUGCUAAGUAUCCUUGGCAACCCGUUAAUUUAUAGGGCUUAUGUGUCUGCGAUCCUUUCCUCUGCUAGCUGGGCAUUAGUGGAUUAAAAGCGUUUAUUGUCUUCGAUGUCCUUGGGACGGUACACUAGGACGACUCUUUCG